rnacentral:rRNA from 1 species
GACGAACGCUGGCGGCGUGCCUAAUACAUGCAAGUCGAGCGGGACUCUUCGGAGUCCAGCGGCGGACGGGUGAGUAACACGUGGGCAACCUGCCUGUAAGACUGGGAUAACACCGGGAAACCGGUGCUAAUACCGGAUAAUCCUUUCCCUCACAUGAGGGGAAGCUGAAAGACGGUUUCGGCUGUCACUUACAGAUGGGCCCGCGGCGCAUUAGCUAGUUGGUGAGGUAACGGCUCACCAAGGCGACGAUGCGUAGCCGACCUGAGAGGGUGAUCGGCCACACUGGGACUGAGACACGGCCCAGACUCCUACGGGAGGCAGCAGUAGGGAAUCUUCCGCAAUGGACGAAAGUCUGACGGAGCAACGCCGCGUGAGCGAUGAAGGCCUUCGGGUCGUAAAGCUCUGUUGUCAGGGAAGAACAAGUAUCGGAGUAACUGCCGGUACCUUGACGGUACCUGACCAGAAAGCCACGGCUAACUACGUGCCAGCCGCCGCCGUAAAAC